UUGGACCUGAUAUCAGGCAAGAUUACCCGCUGAACUUAAC
rnacentral:rRNA from 1 species